rnacentral:lncRNA from 1 species
CUCUGAGGGGCCGGCGUCCCGGCUCACGCCCCCAUUUUCCCUGAGAAUUGGAACUGAGGUUAUUUCCGAGAUCGGGGCAGCAGGGCACGGCCUGUGGCAGGAAAAACCGGCAGAGGCCUGAAGACCAAGUACCAGCUGGUGGGAAAACUUCCAUUGUCAACAAUAGUGGCCCGCUGGUCACUCGACUGCCUGCAGCCGACCGACAGGGCCACCUGAGGCCUGGACACAGGGGCUGCUGUGGUGGAAAUACACCAGUGAUAGUGAGCCCCCCCAGGCCCCGGGGGCUCCUGAGGACGCCUCUGGCCCCUGACCCCCAAGGCAGACCUCUGUCACUCUUAACUUCCUUGUCACUUAGCCCCAUCACGGACGUGUAUCAACUGCUCUGUGUCCUUGUCUCUCGCGAGACUGACGCAGAAUGCCAGCCCCCCCCACCAGGAGCCAGGUCUGAGCCUCCUCAUCCUGUCCCCGGGGCCCGGACGGCACCGGCGCUCAGGUGUGUUUGUCCACGGAGCUGGCGGCCUCGUGGUGACGUCCGGCUGGCGCGUGGUGGCCGUAUCUCGCCUGACUCUGCCUUUAACGACUCCCCGACCCGGAGCACGAUGACCCUCGUCCACCUGGGAGGACCUGGGCCAGCGAGUGGCAGAGCUGAGGCUGAGACCCGGGCCUUCGGACUGUUCUCUCACCGACGCCGGCUGCCGACACACAGAAGUACGUACAGUCAUGUGAUGGAGACGUUCUCAUGGAAGCUUUUCAGUAAUUCUUCGGUGUAAAAAUGUGACUUAUUUACUUAAACUCUUCAGUGCGAUUUUUAAGUGGGUUACUUGCUUGCGAGGACCCAGUGGCUCCAGCCUCCCCUCAAGUUAGGGACAAACAGCCAUCUCAUUGAGUUUACAUCACUUGCGUCUGUACAGUCAGAUUUUCAAAGGGUUUCUUUCUGCAGGGACAGGACGUGUUAUCCUGUAGAAUUUCAGCUCAAUGGCCCAUUCUGCCCAGGAGACCCAGAGGGCUUUCGGUUACCCGGGGGCUGGGACAGGCUAGGUCACAGGGUGCCAAUGUAAAUAACCGAGAGUUUACCCAGUACAAAGGAUCAAAGAUUGGCCCGUUCACUUCCGUAGCAAUCACCCCAAAGAA